rnacentral:rRNA from 1 species
UACGUAGGUGGCGAGCGUUGUCCGGAUUUACUGGGCGUAAAGGGAGCGUAGGCGGACUUUUAAGUGAGAUGUGAAAUACUCGGGCUCAACUUGAGUGCUGCAUUUCAAACUGGAAGUCUAGAGUGCAGGAGAGGAGAAUGGAAUUCCUAGUGUAGCGGUGAAAUGCGUAGAGAUUGGGAGGAACACCGGCGGCGAAGGCGGCCUGCUGGACCGAAACUGACGUUGAGGCUCGAAAGCGUGGGGAGCAAACAGG